CACGCUACGUAGAGUUUGAUCCUGGCUCAGGACGAACGCUGGCGGCGUGCUUAACACAUGCAAGUCGAACGAUGAUGCCAGCUUGCUGGUGGAUUAGUGGCGAACGGGUGAGUAACACGUGAAUAACCUGCCCUUGACUCUGGGAUAAGCGUUGGAAACGACGUCUAAUACCGGAUAUGACCAACAGCUGCAUGGUUUGUUGGUGGAAAGAUUUUUUGGUCAAGGAUGGACUCGCGGCCUAUCAGGUAGUUGGUGAGGUAAUGGCUCACCAAGCCUACGACGGGUAGCCGGCCUGAGAGGGUGACCGGCCACACUGGGACUGAGACAUGGCCCAGACUCCUACGGGAGGCAGCAGUGGGGAAUAUUGCACAAUGGGCGAAAGCCUGAUGCAGCAACGCCGCGUGAGGGAUGACGGCCUCGGUUGUAACCUACUUUAUGUAAGGAAGAAUGAACUUCGGGUUUGACGGUACUUGCAUGAAAAAGCACCGCUAACUACGUGCCAGCCGCCGCGGUAAU
rnacentral:rRNA from 1 species